GCCCUUGUGGCGGAAAUGGUAGACGCGAUAGACUCAAAAUCUAUUAUCUUUACGGGUGUGGGAGUUCGACUCUCCCCGAGGGCACCA
rnacentral:tRNA from 1 species